UCUUCUUAAAGGGCUAUGUUUCCUGGUGCUUAAGCCUCUAGAUUCUGGAAUCUGGUUGUGCCACUUACCAGCUGUGUGACAUUGGGCAAGUUACUCAACCUUUCUGUACUUUAGUCUCCUCCUCUGCAAAAUGAGGAUAAUAAUAGCAAUAACCUCACAGGAUUGUUAUGAGGUUUAAACAAGUCCCAUGUGGAGAGCUCUCCCUGUAGGGCCUGGCCUUAGUAGCUGCUAUGUAAAAACACUCUCUCCCCCUCCUUCUUUCCCUCCCUAUCCUUCCUCCUCCUCUCUAUCCUGCCAGCCGAGGCCCUAGCCCUGGUAUGUGGAGGUGAGGCAGGUUGUAUGUUUUGAAGGGAUAGUGCUUGCAGAAGAGAAGCUCUUAUUCCCUGAUCCCAACCACUCCCUCUAGCUGCAGGGGACUUGCCAGGCUGCAGAGAGUGUGAGGUGAGGAAGGGCCUUCUCCCUCCCUCUGACACCCUGUGGGCUCCAGGUCCCUGCGCUGAUCCAGAAGGCCCUGAUGUAGGAAGAGCCUCCAGCCUCCCCUGCCCCGUGUCCCUCGUUUACUCUUCUCCUACUCCCUGAUUUUCCCUAGUGAGAAUUUCUCUCUCAGCUCACCGCCUCUGGGCAGCCCUCCGGGAUUGGACAGGGAACUUUGUACCCUUGAAGGGUGUUUCUGAGGACACAAAUCCUCGUAGACCCUGAGACAGGUCUCCAAGAGUAUGGACCUGGAGUGCGAAACAUGCCUUAAAGGCUUUGUAUCCCUUAUCCCUGUGGCCUCCUGUUCCUGAGUGCCAGGAAGUCCUUCCUACAGUCUACCCUCGUGCUUCCCACCUGGAUCUGAAGGGGUUACACAGCUCCAGGCCCGCCCACGGCAGGUCCCAGCUGCCUGGGGCCUGUGGUCAGAGCUAAUGUAGGCGAGAGUUGGAGGACAAGAGGGGAUAAAGUUAUUAGCGUCUUCAUCUUUGAGGAAUAUCGAUCGCCAGGUCUCCAGGCUCACUUGGUCUUAUAAUGGGGCUCACGGGGGUGUUGGGAGGGGCUCAGAAAACUCUCACAAAUCCCUUUACCCAUAUCCUGGAGUGGGCACUGGGCUACCCAUGUCUGCUGAAAGGAAGAUAGGCAGAGACACAGUUUGGGAGGCGAGUGGCCUGGGAGGCAGGAGUGAGGCAGGGCUGAGAGGGGAGUCAGGGCUUGGCAACCUGGGCAAGGAGCAGACUGGAAUGGGCUUGAUUUCAGUUCACUACACUUUACUUUAAGGUUGAGUGUGUGUGUGUGUGUGUGUGUGUGACACACAGAAAGACAGAAAGAGAGAGAAAGUGAGCGAGAGAGGGAGAGAGAGAGAAAGG
rnacentral:lncRNA from 10 species